ACUGUCCUUUGCCCACCAUGCUAGAUACACAGCCACAGAGCACAGACUCAUGUUAGUGUGAAGCUGAUGAGCUUCUCACUGCAGUGUGUUCUGGUUUGAUUAAUAAUCGUCUUCAUGCUGUGAGAACAUGUUUGCUUUGAGCUCUGUGCUGAAGACUGUCAGUGUGCCUCUCAGAAACUCCACAGUUCUUUGUGGUCACUCUGAGUUUCACAGCAGAGGUGUUAGGAUGGGAAAAAGGAAAGAAACGAUACUGCAGUUUAUAAAAAGGCAACAAUUUAUAUCUUCAAAAGGUCACAUAAAACAAAAUAAUAAAGUGUAUUGAUAUCACAGUACUGUUGCAGUUGUACCUGCAAUAAUUUUCAUGUGUUCAGGCUGAUUCAGCUGUGAUCUACUCAGCAGUGAGAGCUGAACACGUUAGUUAUGGACAAACAACCAUCAGAACAAGGAGGCCCAGUUUCCCCGGACCUUUGUAAUCUGCCGUUUGGGACGUGACUGAGUUGCUGUGUGGAACCGUGAGCUGGAGCACGAGCGCGAGAGAACCAUUCCCUUUCUCCGACCUCCCUUUUGGACCCUUGGAACCCCGGAUUUCCCCCACAUGUAUAUAUAUCACACCUGGUGUUUGUGUAAAUAAAGACCUGCAUUGAACUGUG